GUGCUUGUUUCGGUAGCACAUAUAUUAAAUUGGAAAGAUACAGAGACAAUUAGUAUGGCCCCUGAGCAAGGAUGAGAUGCAAAUUAAUGAAAAGCAUUCUAUAAAU
ensembl:snRNA Gm24126 predicted gene, 24126